rnacentral:rRNA from 1 species
AACGAACGCUGGCGGCAUGCCUAACACAUGCAAGUCGAACGAACCCUUCGGGGUUAGUGGCGCACGGGUGCGUAACGCGUGGGAAUCUGCCCUUUGCUUCGGAAUAACUCAGGGAAACUUGUGCUAAUACCGGAUGAUGUCUUCGGACCAAAGAUUUAUCGGCAAGGGAUGAGCCCGCGUAGGAUUAGGUAGUUGGUGGGGUAAAGGCCUACCAAGCCGACGAUCCUUAGCUGGUCUGAGAGGAUGAUCAGCCACACUGGGACUGAGACACGGCCCAGACUCCUACGGGAGGCAGCAGUGGGGAAUAUUGGACAAUGGGCGCAAGCCUGAUCCAGCAAUGCCGCGUGAGUGACGAAGGCCCUCGGGUCGUAAAGCUCUUUUACCAGGGAUGAUAAUGACAGUACCUGGAGAAUAAGCUCCGGCUAACUCCGUG